AUCCCUCUGGCUGCUCUGCGCGAAUUUGCCUGAACUCGAGCGCUCUCACUGGACUGCCACGCGUUCUUCCUACUUUCUUUUAGUGUAGAGUGAUUUUUGACGGUGGGUUGGCUGCUGAUUUGCUGUGGGGCGACUCUCUCGUUGUUAGCCGGCUCGUCUGAAGUGUAGAAUUCACUGCCGAGUGAACCGGAUGGACAUGAGUAAUACACACAGUGUAGCAACUUGCAGAGACGCAAAAAUGGCGUCUCCGCAGUUCACUGGCCGACGCACAAAUGACGCGAGGACAGUGAAAGAAGACUAUAGAACCGUAGGAGAGCAACUUCGCUGCCGCCUGUGCUGUAGCUACAGAAGACUGUUGGCGACUUGCAUGUCUACACAUCACAAACAAUGUUGGCGCAUUCACGCCGCACAUUCCGAAUUUUGUUCGUCUGUGCACGGGCUACUGAGGAGUCAGAAUCUCUGCGAUGAGAAAUUGACGGAACGGCUUCUAUGACUUCAAUUUCUUUUGACGUCUGAAGGGGGCCGUGGAUGUCCAGCAAUACUUUCAAGAACCUUUCGACGGCAAAGGAGGGUUCCAGUUUUUUCCUGUUGCCUGCUGGUAACUGUCCCAACCGCUGCACCGAAGCUACACCUACCACGCCUAGUUCCUCCGGCUCAGCUUGCUACCGAUGGAAAAGCAACCCAUCACAAUUCUGCCACAACCGUGGGAUGAAAAAAUCCGAAAAACGGCAUGGAAACAGUACUGGAGCAGGCGUUCUGUUGGCACGGUUGUGGAGCGAACUAACUUGAACGCCACGGAUCGUACAUACUGGAGAAAAGUGAGUCCCGACGUUAAGCUGCGAAAGAAAACAACCCCCAUCUUUAACGAUAAUAAGGAACCACGGGUGAUCAACGGGGCUUUAAUAUGGCAGUGGGUACGGCGCGGUGCCGCACCAAAGAAACCAAACGGAACGCUAUCUGCAUCCCAGGAUUCUAGAGUUCACGGCGAAGCCGAAACCAAGCAGUCUGCGAUCUUCCGGUGGGUUACGUGCAUGUCUCGUUCAUGGGAUUAGGAAUCCAUCGCUCCUGCAGCUCUUCUAAUGUCGCUAAUCGCAACCGACGACGAACAAGAGCCGAUGCAGAGGAUCAGACGGAGACACGGCGGAGGAGCUCGAGGCUCCAUUCCCGCGUAUGGUAGUGCUUGAGAUGCUAUCUGGGCCACACAUUUGAUAUGGUACAAUGCUUUCAGGUGUCGUUCACUGAAUUCUUCAACGACACACGGGACACCACAGCCAGUGAUGAAGAGGAAGAAUCCGAGUAAAUGUGUGGUAUUGGGCUCCAGCAGCUGCCGAGCCGGUCCUACUCAUCGUAGAUUGCAUCUACCACCUCCUACUUCAAGUAUCCGACUCAGCAAAUGCUACAUGACGUCAGAGUUCAGUUCUUUCGUGUAUUGUGUUGACUUCAAUUCUUUCGAGGGUUGUGUUGUACGUGAGCGAGUGGCUGUCUAUCUUGGUCUCUGCUCUCCGCUCACAUACGCAUUAGUGCCAUCCAAACGAGAGUGCGAGUUGCGUGAUCAUAGUAACGACAGAGGUUGAAGCUGCGACGCAGAAAAGCAGUCAGAGAUGCUUUUUUACCCACGCUGAUCGUAUGAAUGAUCGCCUCUCCAUCAAAACCCGCCAUUUUCUUUCCUAACGGGCCAUUCAUCUUAGAUGUCGGAACUGGGCCGGUGAACCGAUCAAUAUAUGUCUGGUUGGGAGGUUUACAGACUCGCACAGGUGCCCUUUUGGGUUCAGGUCAAUCGGUAGUCUAAAUUUAAAUUAAAU
rnacentral:lncRNA from 1 species